rnacentral:lncRNA from 10 species
GUCGAUCACUUGAGCCCAGGAGUUCAAGACCAGCCUGGGCAACAUAGUGAGAGACCCCCACCAAUAUGUACAAAACAAACAAACCCAAAACAACUGAAGAAACAGCUACAGCAUAAAAAGUCAUCAUCAUAACUAGUUUGUGGAGAAAUGGCUUCAGGUGAUCCCUUCCUGCUCCCUCACCCCAGGUCCAAUCUAUACCAGUUCCUGUUGACGUCAUCUACUGAAUCUCAUCACGUCCCCCCAUCCGCUAUGCCACCAGUCCUGCUUAGAGUCAACGUCAUCCCAUUUUGCCGAUAAGCAUUUUGCUGAUCUUCAAUUUUAGCCUGCUGGGUGUGGAGGAUUCCAACCCAAUUAACAGACAAGGAAGCUGAAGGAGCAGGAGUGUCUACACUCUAGCUGUCAGGAUGCUAUGGGAUACAGCAGAGAAUAAAAGGGACAAAGCCUCGACUUUCAUGGAUCUUACAUCCUGGUGCGGGAGCCAGAUAGCAAUUCUCUUUCCAGAGUGAUGCGCAAACAAACCCUCAGAUGCAAGGUGAAAGCCUGAAGCUUAGAGACAAAUAUUUAGUUGCAUCUA